UGAAGGUGUGUGGGCUCCCUGGCUGCUAGGAUUCUUUCCUCUGCUUGUUGGAUAGGCGUAGUGGCCGAGCUCCUCCCAUCAUCCUGGCUUUCACAAGUGGCAUUGUUCAUGCACCAACAUCUGCCAUCUGGGUGAACAAUGUUGAGCUACAGUUUUACUAACCUUGUAAUGGGACACUCAAGACCUGAGCUAAUAAACAGGCUUUCUAAACCCAACUGUAAGUAUUACUGAUACUUAUCACUACCAAUAUCAAUAAUGUGUGAAUAUGGAAAUUGUGGUGUUGUAUGUCAUGACUAUUAUUAAGUAGUAUGGUUGUUAUGGGAAAAAUUGUCUAUUAUUUCUAUGUGUCUUCCUUACUUCUAUGCAGUUAUUAUAUGAUUUAUGACUUAUGUUCUGCAAUUAAUAUCUUGUGUUUUGUCUUACUGUAUGCAUUUGACAUUUCACCUAGAUUGUUCAAUGGUUGUCUCUGCCAGAAAGACUCUCAACUCUAGCUCCCAAACCCAAGGUCGGGGAGUUGUGUCUCUGUCUGUUGAGACUUGGUGCUCCUUUCUCACAGAUAGUUGGACGUCAGCGAUGCAGCAAAGGAAAACAAGGACAGAGCAACAGCAGAGAAGACGUGCUCUAACACAGACACUGGUUGAAACAACAGGAGAGGCUUCAGACGUGAUCGGCCCAAAAGAGCUGCAUGCGAGGAUCCAGGAAAGGUCUGUCAUCGAGGAACAACUGUCCCAUCGAAAGGCUUCACCCGCUGGCGCUCACAUCAGACUGAUGGUUGGGGAAGGAGGAAGGUGACGGUUCCUUUUCACGUGACGUACAAGACGGUACCGCAAACACACACACACACACACACACACACACACACACACACACAUUCAUACACGCAAUGAAGAAACACGCUUACAGCUGAUACACGCUCAAAUUCAUGUUCAUGCUUAUCUGCUCGCAAUGAAGAAUCGCUUUUUGCUCAAAAAAAAAAAAAAAAAAAACCCACAGAGUGAUUUUACAAUGAUGACAAACAGCUAAAUGACAACUGCUGCAUGACUUUACAGUCUGAUGGGUUCAAACUAUUUUAACUUGCAACAAAUUCAGUAAUAAAAUCCUUCAUGUUUCUAAAAAUACUUGUGCA
rnacentral:lncRNA from 1 species